ensembl:lncRNA
ACCAAAUUAACUUGACCAUUUUCCUUCUUUUCAUAGUGAAGUGAUUUGGCUGCAUCUCCAAUUGUGGUAUUUUCCAUUUGUCAAAGUCAAAGCUAUCCCUUUUGUUGAUUAAUUCUGGAGAAAGUUGAAGUCUUUGUACUCCUGUGAUUGACGUGGUGCCUGACUCUGCCAGAUUUUGCCUUGGAUAUGCUGCAAUAGAAGGUUGUGGCAAUCCUGAGUCAAGCAAGUCUAUUGGUGCCAUUUUUCUAACAGCAUGUGUUCACUUCAGGUCUCUGUGUCACAUUUUGGUAAUUCUUACAGUAUUUCAAACUUUUUCAUUAUUAUUAUAUCUGUUAUGGUAAUGUGUGAACAGUGAUCUGCUGUUACUAUUGUAAUUGUUUUGGGAUGCCACAAACUGCACCCAAAUAAAUGGCAAACUUAAUUGAUUAAUGUUGUGUGUGUUUUGGCUGCUCCACUGACCAGCUGUUUUCCCAUCUUUCUCCCUAUCCGUGGGUCUCCCUAUUCCCAAGACACAAUAAUAUUAAAAUUAGGCCAAUUAGGCUGGGCACAGUGGCUCAUGCCUGUAAUCGCAGCACCUUAGGGGACUGAGGCAGGUGGAUCACUUGAGGUCAGGAGUUCAAAACCAGCCUAGCCAACAUGGUGAAAUAAAAAUACAAAAAUUAGCUGGGUGUGGUGGCACAUGCCUGUAAUCCCAGCUACUCAGGAGGCUGAGGCAGGGGAACUGCUUAAACCUGGGAAGUGGAGGUUGCAGUAGUGAGCCAAGAUCACACCACUGCACUCCAGCCUGGGCAAAAGAGUGAGACACCAUCUCAAAAAAAAAAGCCAGUUGAUAAGCCUCUAAAUGUUCAAGUGAAAGGAAGAGUCGCACAUCUCUCACUUUAAAUCAAAAGCUAGAAAGGAUUAAACUUAGUGAGGAAGGCACUUAAAAAGCCAAGACAGGCCAAAAGCUAGGCCUCUUGCACCAAACAGAUAGCCAAACUGUGAAUGAACAGGAAAAGGUCUUGAAGGAAAUUAAAAAUU